ACUGAACGCUGGCGGCAGGCUUAACACAUGCAAGUCGAGCGGGGUGAUGGUGCUUGCACUAUCACUUAGCGGCGGACGGGUGAGUAAUGCUUAGGAAUCUGCCUAUUAGUGGGGGACAACAUCUCGAAAGGGAUGCUAAUACCGCAUACGUCCUACGGGAGAAAGCAGGGGAUCACUUGUGACCUUGCGCUAAUAGAUGAGCCUAAGUCGGAUUAGCUAGUUGGUGGGGUAAAGGCCUACCAAGGCGACGAUCUGUAGCGGGUCUGAGAGGAUGAUCCGCCAAGCUGGGACUGAGAAACGGCCCAGACUACGACGGGAGGCAGCAGUGGGGAAUAUUGGACAAUGGGGGGAACCCUGAUCCAGCCAUGCCGCGUGUGUGAAGAAGGCCUUAUGGUUGUAAAGCACUUUAAGCGAGGAGGAGGCUCUUUUGGUUAAUACCCAAGAUGAGUGGACGUUACUCGCAGAAUAAGCACCGGCUAACUCUGUGCCAGCCGCCGCGGUAA
rnacentral:rRNA from 1 species